rnacentral:rRNA from 1 species
UACGUAGGGGGCAAGCGUUGUCCGGAUUUAUUGGGCGUAAAGAGCGUGUAGGCGGUUUGGUAGGUCCGUUGUGAAAACUCGAGGCUCAACCUCGAGACGCCGAUGGAAACCAUCAGACUAGAGUCCGGAAGAGGAGAGUGGAAUUCCUGGUGUAGCGGUGAAAUGCGCAGAUAUCAGGAGGAACACCGAUGGCGAAGGCAGAUCUCUGGGCCGUAACUGACGCUGAGGAGCGAAAGCAUGGGGAGCGAACAGG